GUUGCUUAAUAAAAUAAAAAUAGGUUUGGGGAUGGAUAUUCCUGAUACUCAAGACCCUAGAUUCAAUCCUCCAGGUGGAUAGAGGAAUCAAUCACCUGAAUGAAUAUCUUUAAGAUAAAAUAAUUUCAUAAGUAUUUUUCUUAUACUUGCCAAAGCCUUUUCUUCUUAGUGGGGCAGUUUUCAGAUUGACUUUCAAACCAAGUUAUCCUCUCUGUGUCUGCCUUUCUUUCCACAGCCCUCCUCUUUGCACCCUGUCUGAAGUCUGCAUAUUCCAUGAAUCCUUGAGGGAGCCUGAUUCUUAUAAGGCAGGGGUCACUGAAGGAACCACAACAGUGUCUCCCUUGGAGAAAAGGAAAGGAAAUCGCCACCGUUUGAGAACACCACACGAAUUCAUUCCCUUCAGAUACUGUCCGUGUGUGAGUUACGCAUGCCAACUGCCAGGUAUGUGAGUGUGUCUGCUCCUGUGUGCUCCCCAGAACGAGUUUCUCUGCCCAGUUUUGAGACGCCUUUUAUGGAGGAGACCUGUGCCCGCUCCCUACUUACGUUUCCUUCUGCCUUCUUUCUCAUUACAACUGUCGACAGUGUCCGACGAUAGAAUAUGGCUCCAAGAAGCACUGUUUGAAAAGUAUUUAAUGAUAUUCCCUGAAGUUACUUGGCCAAAUACGACUGAAUCUUUAUAACCCAGAGAGAAAACAAAAUUAUUUACUCAUUCAGUAUUUAUUAGUUUGGAAAUGGGGACACAGUACCUAACACACAAUUCGCCGAUGUUUGCUCUAUCCUGGUACCUGCCUUGCAAGCUCCUUUCUAAGGCUUGAAGAGGAGACAUACGAUCCCAAGCUGAUGUUGACUCUUUGUAGCACAAUUCUUUAUGUUUUAAGGAGCAAUUAAUUCUGAUAAUUGCUGUUGGUACACCAUGGAUUUUAAAUGAUUUAUGAAAGAGUUUUCAGCUCUGCUCAGGCAUCUCUGUGAGCGUGCUCUCCCAUUACUCCCACGCUCUAUGGAAUGCUAGAGACAAAGAAUAUGAGAAAGGGACAUAAAACUAAGAAGUAGAUAGCCCAGGCAAACCCCAGGCCACCUCAUCCUCACUCAUAAUUCAAGGUCGUAACACAGACAGUGGACAAUUUUGAGGUGGAGAUGAGGUAUCAGAUGGAAUAUGAGACUACAGAUACUAAAAAUAGCUUUCUGACUGGGAUAGCCUAUGGCCAGAAGUAUUAAGGCUCCCCAUUCUGCUGGGACAUCUGCCUGACCUAGUGGUCACCACCACUGACCCUCCCUCAUUUGGCUUCUACUCUGAGUAGUUUAGCAUUUUCCUUUCAAAAGAGAAAGACAGAAGUUGCACACCUGUAAUUCCAGACCUUGGGAGAUGGAGAUCGGAAGAUCAGGAGUUCAAGGCUAUACUUGGCUACAGAGAAAGUUCAAAGCCAGCCUGUGCCCCACAAAACCCUAUCUUGUGGCAAACCAAAACAUAACAUAACAUUUAAAAAAUGUGUAAUUUUUUUUUAAUGUCAAAGACUGGGAAUAGAAAUAAGCUUUGGCCUUCUGUUGUGUUUAUGAAGUAAGGCCCUUCCCAGACAGUAUUAAUCAUGACAGAUCAUUAAAGAGUUGGACCAGAGAAAGGCUCAGAACUAGCUCAAUAAAGGUAGCAGCCAAUAAGGGGAAAGCUAGAUAUUAUUGACAAUGGCAACUACUUGGGCCCCGUGCUCAUGUCUCUAGGUCUGUGCACAACCUCAAAGCAAGAUUUCUAGGCCUUCUGACUGGACUGCAGACUCUCAGGCCCUCUCUCUGGGAACACCUUGAAGCUUCCUUGAAUUUACUAACACAGAUGUCAAUGUCUCUCCAGGAAACACUCCCUGAGUGGAUUACACACCCAACUCUGCCUUUGGCUGCCUACAACAGUGGCUGCCAGGUAGGAAUCUCUGUCAAUUCUAGAGUCAUGAAUGGCAACAGAGUUCAGCCUUGCUCUACUUGUAACAAAAAGAGCCUGAACCAUGGAGGGAAGGAGACACUCUGUGGUCCUCUCCAAUACUCUUGUUGUCCGGACAGUGAAACAUUGUUUCAAAGUCUCACCUAGAUUCCAGAAAAAGGAAAGCAAAGAAAGUAGAUGUCAAAACCACACAUGAAAACAGAGUUGUGUGAGCCUGGAAUGAAAGUGAUUUCUCCCCCUCCAACAAAGUUCUGUGUAAAAGAACUUGGAGGAGCACAAAGGCCAAGGACCCAAUGGGGGUUGUCCAUAAUUUAUCACCUAUCUAAGAGCUGUCUGGGGCAGAUUGAAGUCAUUAGCCAGGCAGGCUUGGGCGGGAGGAACCUCCAAGGUGCCUGGCACUGCAAGCCUGGAAGAGAAUCGACAUGGUCCAAUCUUAAAUCUCUGAAAUAAAAUGACUAGGGUAUGUUUCCUUCUUCUCGCCUCCCAGGAUCAACAUGUGCCCUUUAAAAAAAAAAAAAAGGCACUGGGUCUGAUAAAAAUCACAUCCAUUUACUGCAGUGUCUUUUCCAUGGCUUCGGAAGAAAGGCCUUUAUCAUGCCCUGAAUUAGAUCUGUGAUUUUUUUUGAAUGACAUGUAUAAUAAUUAGACUGUGAAGAUGUGCAGUUAAUCCAUUUAAAGGUGUAAAGAAGUCCAUUUAAUGAACAUUAUAGUCAUGUUAGACUUGGAAACAGCCAACUCUUUUGUUGAAUAAAAAGAAGUUCAAUG
ensembl:lincRNA RIKEN cDNA E330013P04 gene